UCUCCAGGCUGCAGUGCAGAGGUGUGAUCUCAGAUCACUGCAGCAUCCUCCUACUGCAUUCAAGCAAUUCUUCUGCUUCAGCCUCUCGAAUAGCUGGGACUGAAAUUUCUCACCACCACCACGCGGGAAUUUUUGAAGUGUUUAGUACAGACAGGGUUUCACCAUGUUGGCCAGGAUGACCUCAACCUCUUGCCCUCAUGAUCUGCCCGCCUCAGCCUCACCACAUGCUGGAUUACAUGCAUAAACCACUGCGCCCAGCCUGCCAUCUGGUUAUCUAACAUCACCAAGUGAAUAUUAGACCUGUGCCAGCGGGACCCAGCAUGAUGUCAUCCUCAUGGUGUUUCUUUUUCUCUUAUUGCAGGAGAAGCCCGCCGCUUGGUGUCACCGCCGUCCCGUUGAGGUCCCGCAGGACCUCAUACUAGAAGACAUUGAGGAUGAUGAGCUACCCCGUGAUGAGGAGAAGCCUGCGUCCCACUAUCAUCGCCGUCCCGUUGAGGUCCCGCAGGACCUCAUACUAGAAGACAUUGAGGAUGAUGAGCUACCCCGUGACGAGGAGAAGCCCGCCGCUUGGUGUCACCACCGUACGUAUUCUUUUUCUUUUAAACAGUUACCGAGACAUAGUGCAUAUGCAAACAAAUUCACUUAUUUAAAGUAGGUGAUUCCGUAUUUUUACUCUAUUUAUAGGGUUGUGCAACCAUUGUUAGAGUGCAAUUUUAGAAGCUGUUUUUCCCCCUCAGAAAACCCACUUAGUAGUGACUCUUCUGUUCUCCCCAACCCCUCACGCCCCUGGAUUUAGGCAGCCCUAAUCUACUUCCUGUUUCUGUAGUACACUGCCUUUCUGUAUUAACCGGUUCUUCAAAUGACGAUUUCACGUUGAUGAGGUUGCCCUGGCUAGGAAGCCAGGCUCUUUCAUUUCUUUCUGCCCCUCUCCUUUUCCUUCCUUCAGCACCCAGGAGAAUGGUCCAGCAGCAGCUGGGUCUGUGCUUUUCAAACGCCCAGCUCCAUAUCCUCCAGCCCGGUCCACAUUUCCCAAAGCUCCUGGUGAGAUUCCUGAGCAGCACCAAUGCACUGACUGUUACUCUGUGUUCUCUUAGGUCCCGUUGAGGUCCCGCAGGACCUCAUACUAGAAGACAUUGAGGAUGAUGAGCUACCCCGUGACGAGGUAAGAUGCAUUCUUCUGUCUCGAAGAGAAAUUUUUCUUUCUGUGGCCUCUGGUAUAUCAAGUGAAUAUCCUUUUUGACUGCCAUUGUGAAUCGGACCU
rnacentral:lncRNA from 13 species